UCACAAUUUAAUCUCCACUAUCACAAGCAUGUUUCAGUAAGCAUGAAGACUACAGUCUCACAAUUCUGACCGAGGAAAUAUAAUUUAGAAUUAACUUCCUUCCAAAUUAAGACAUUCCUCUGAUGUGCUGCCCAGUGGAAUAAAGUUGCAUUCUCUGACAGUACUUAGCCCCACCCAGCUGAUCUUUUGUGUACAGAUAUGCGGAGACCUAAUACCAAGUUACUAAAAGCAUCUCUCUGCAGCCUUGCCUGUAUCUUCACUUAGCUCAUUUUACUUUCUGUUGCAGCCUCUCUGAGAUGGGUUUAGCACUGCUAUCAUUUAAAGGCAGCAAGAUUAUCUUCAAGAAAAACAGCUCUAAAAUCCAUCCAUCCUAUUGACGUCAAUUGCUUAGGAAGGGAGUGAAUACAGAAAACUUCGUAGAAAGUCAGCUCUGCGUGUUUUAUCUUAGAUUUCCAAGUGAAAACAAUUGCUAGAAAGCCUGAGGUUGUUGCUGAUUAUAAAACAGUGAUUUUUCCCCUCCUGUGAUUUUUAAAAAUUCAGUGGUUUGAACUAUCUGAAUCAAAGUUUAAACUUUGAUUUAUGUAGCUGUAUAAGAAUUUUGCAAUGUCAGCUGUGAAGUUUGAAUUGGAUAAUCUUUCUCCUGAAGGAUUCAGACAUGAGCAUGUUUCCAGCUCAGAGUUUACUUUAACCUGCUUGACUGAACUUUCUGGUGAUUCUAGUCAAUGGGAACUUCAGCACUACAAUUCUGUCCCUGUUGGAAAAAAAAGUAUAGUACUUUUUUAUUUUGUGAAACAAAAUAGUGCUGUGAAGAAUAACAUGUGCGGAGACUGCCUGGGUUCAGAUCCCACCUCUACCAUUCAUCCUGUGCUGUUGGGCUAAUGACUCAGUGCCUCAAUUAACUCCUAAGAAUAACGUGAAUACUAAAAGUUUCUAUCUCAAAAGGACUUUGUGAUACUGGUGAGUGAAUAAAGCUAACCGAGUCCAUUAAUGAAUGAUUCCAGGAUCUGACACAGAAUGCACAAUGUAUGU
rnacentral:lncRNA from 1 species